GCCUUAGCAGAAUGAAGGCAUGCUAAUUGUGUCUGGCUGUUAACCAGAAGGUUGGUGGUUCAAGCCCACCCAGGGACU